UACGUAGGUGGCAAGCGUUGUCCGGAAUUAUUGGGCGUAAAGCGCGCGCAGGUGGUUUCUUAAGUCUGAUGUGAAAGCCCACGGCUCAACCGUGGAGGGUCAUUGGAAACUGGGAACUUGAGUGCAGAAGAGGAAAGUGGAAUUCCAAGUGUAGCGGUGAAAUGCGUAGAGAUUUGGAGGAACACCAGUGGCGAAGGCGACUUUCUGGUCUGUAACUGACACUGAGGCGCGAAAGCGUGGGGAGCGAACAGG
rnacentral:rRNA from 1 species